rnacentral:rRNA from 1 species
UACGAAGGGGGCUAGCGUUGCUCGGAAUCACUGGGCGUAAAGGGUGCGUAGGCGGGUCUUUAAGUCAGGGGUGAAAUCCUGGGGCUUAACUCCAGACUGCCGUUGAUACUAUCUGUCUUGAAUACCGUGGAGAUGAGCGGAAUAUGUCAUGUAGCGGUGAAAUGCUUAGAGAUGACAUAGAACACCAAUUGCGAAGGCAGCUCGUUACACGCAUAUUGACUCUGAGGCUCGAAAGCGUGGGGGAUCAAACAGG